rnacentral:rRNA from 1 species
AACGAACGCUGGCGGCAGGCUUAACUCAUGCAAGUCGAGCGCCCCGCAAGGGGAGCGGCAGACGGGUGAGUAACGCGUGGGAACGUACCUUUUGGUUCGGAACAACUCCGGGAAACUGGAGCUAAUACCGGAUAAGCCCUAACGGGGAAAGAUUUAUCGCCGAAAGAUCGGCCCGCGUCUGAUUAGCUAGUUGGUGAGGUAACGGCUCACCAAGGCGACGAUCAGUAGCUGGUCUGAGAGGAUGAUCAGCCACACUGGGACUGAGACACGGCCCAGACUCCUACGGGAGGCAGCAGUGGGGAAUAUUGGACAAUGGGCGCAAGCCUGAUCCAGCCAUGCCGCGUGAGUGAGGAAGGCCUUAGGGUUGUAAAGCUCUUUUGUCCGGGAAGAUAAUGACUGUACCGGAAGAAUAAGCCCCGGCUAACUUCGUG